AAUAUAACUAAGAUUUAAAUUUUACUUAUUUUUUUAAGCAAACUAGUGCAAUUACUAAGCUUAAUUUGAGAAACCAGUUAAGCUAAUAAAAUUGAGGAAAGAUGGCUUCACGUUUAUUUUAAGAAAAUUCACUCAAUUAUGUGGAUUUGAUUGAGAUGUUUGCAUUUGAAUCUCAACAACGGCAGUGAUCAGACGACAUUUUGAAGGAGCAGAUCAACAGCGAGCAUGUUAAGAGUUUAAUGAAGAAAACUUUCGCAGUGUUUUCCCACUAAAGAGGAGCAGUUUAUUGAGGCAGAUUUUGAUAAAGAGAAUGGCUGCCAUACAUCAGACCUCACAUUAAAUCAGGGAUGAAACGAGAGAUGUCGUCCUCUGUUGCUGGUCUAUCUGUAUGAAUAAGAGGAAGAGCUCAUCCAGGAGUGCAAUUGUGGGAAUGCACAGAGAAUUGCUGUCUGUCAGAGGGAUGACCAACCAUGAGGACUUCUGCAUUGUCUUGGAGGAUAAGUGAGUCAUGGCUAGCCUGGAAAAUCUAGAAUCGCUGAACUGGAUUUAUACAAAUAUUCCACAAAUUAAAAUCACUUACAAAGAAACGAAUAAUAAGUUUGCAAUACACAAAUUCUGUCAAAUAUUGUCUAAAAUGUGACUAUUCCUACAAAGGAAAGUUGACAGGUCAGUUUUUUCCAUGACAUGGAUAAAGGAAUUUUUAUCAGAGAUUAGCAUUGCUGUAAAUUUUAUAUAGAUUUGUUUAACAUAUUGUACCAUUUUGUUAUCAGUGUAACAUGUAAUAAAAUGAUAUUUGGCCUAAA